rnacentral:rRNA from 1 species
UACGUAGGUCCCGAGCGUUGUCCGGAUUUAUUGGGCGUAAAGCGAGCGCAGGUGGUUUAUUAAGUCUGGUGUAAAAGGCAGUGGCUCAACCAUUGUAUGCAUUGGAAACUGGUAGACUUGAGUGCAGGAGAGGAGAGUGGAAUUCCAUGUGUAGCGGUGAAAUGCGUAGAUAUAUGGAGGAACACCGGUGGCGAAAGGGGCUCUCUGGCCUGUAACUGACACUGAGGCUCGAAAGCGUGGGGAGCAAACAGG